UUUGUGGGCCUGCUGAUAUAGUGGACCAAAUGAGAGACCUUCACGGAGGGCCUUUGAUGUUUCUUGGCCCAACAAUGAAUCCCAAGUUAGCCUUCGAGAUAUCAGGGAGAAUCCCUCACCUGAGCAUGAGGAUGAAGAAACAUUGCAAACGAGCAAUGAAGUAUGUCACCAAGAUGAAGGAACUGGACCCUAACCUAGAUGUCUUAUACCCCGGGCUUAAAGAGCAUCCACAGCACAGUCUCUUGAACUCCAUGUCUAAUAAGGAUUAUGGGUUCGGUGGGGUUUUCUGCAUUGACAUGAAAACUGAAGGAAGGGCCUGUCGCUUGAUGGACACAUUGCAAAACAGCACCAAAUUUGGGUUCAUGGGCGUUAGCUUGGGCUAUUAUGAGACCCUCAUGACUUGCUCUUCCAGGAGCACUAAUAGUAUGAUGGACAGCAAGGAAAAGGAAAGUGCCGGCAUUUCACCAGGGCUGGUAAGAUUUUCGGUGGGAUACGUGGGGACUUUUGAGCAGAAAUGGAGCCAAUUCACCAAGGCAUAUUCAGAAAUGUAAUUCUGGGUUUUUUCCGGCAAGCUCAGACCUUCGGUUCCAAUCUAUCUUGCGAAAAUUAAACAAUCACUCUCAUGUUUAUGCCUGCCUUGCAUGUUAUAGCAUUUCAGAUCUUAUGAGAGAUAUGAAUUGAGACGAUAAUUCUCAAAUGCAUAAUUAUCAUAAAGGGAUAAUGAAAUAUUAAUUAAGCGUAUGAAGUUUCAUAUUUCACAAUGAGUAUCUCAGCUUUAAUAUUUAUCGAUCAUCUGUUAUAACAAUACACUCAAGUGUCUCGGCUUAUGUUAAUUUGUUGAAUUAUUCAUUAAAUGAUGACAUGAAAACUAAAAUCUUAUAUAUAUAUAAAGGCCUUUCUUUUAAAACAUUGUGAGUAUGAAAUCGGAGUUGUAAAAAUUGCUUCUUGACUCAGUUUAUGGCAUAAUAUACCUAAAGUGACAUAAACCCUAAUCUGUAAGGUUUUAUAAUUCAUAUCAUGUUUUAAUGUAUAUGUCAGUAAAUUCAUAGCGUACAUUCAUUAAGGUAUUUGACUGUGUUGUUAUUGAUAUCUGAACAACUUAAUUAAUAAAAAUUAAAGUUAAAACAUCAAUCUGUAUAAAUAAAAGAAAUUUAGACACUUAAUAUAUCAAUUUUCACAAUUUUCACCAGAAAGAAAAACCCUAGACACCAUUAUCUCAACACACAAUAAAUAAAAAGAAUUCAAUGGGUUUGACUAGAUUGUGAGUAAACAUGAGUUUUAGCUUGAUGUCAAAGGAAAAAAAAAAACCUCUCUCACCCUAAGGGCUUCCUUUAAGUCAAGUUUCCCUCAGGGAUCAAGAUCCUCAGCAAAUCAAGCAUGUAUUUAAAGCAAGGUUACAAGUGAUCAAGCUUCUAUCGGCAAGAAUCAAAUCCAAGCAUGAUCAAGCAUCCAAAUUAAGCGAUGAUCAAGCAUUCAAGCUUGUGAAAAAAGUUUAGCAUAAAGACAUUUGGAAUAAAUUUAAAGCAAAGCAAGGGCCCAUGGAGAUUUUUUUAUGUAAAUAGUAAUAUUACAUCCAUAUGGUAUUAGAAAGUGAGAGGAGAGGCUAGUCUUCUUUAGCAUUUGAGUUGUAAAAGAAAAAAAGAGAGAGAGAAAGGAUUGUGACAUUUGACUGAUUCUAUGUACCAAUAGCACCUUAAAAAAAAUAUCCAAAGCUUUGUUUGCAAUUCAAAUUUUAAUUAGAGUAUUGAAAUUGUGAUUAAUAUUCUAAGAUAGUAUUUUGAAAUCUCAUAUUCAUAAGGUUUUUUUUAUAAUAAUAGAAACUAAUUUGGUGAUUGAUCUGAAAUAAAGUUUCGAGUGAUGUGUUGAAGAAUAAAAAUAAAAAAAACUAAACAACAUUAUUUUAAAUAAAAAAAAAACCAACUCAAGUUUUGAAGGUCUUUCCCUCCUUUAUUUUUAAUUAAAACCAAACUGAGUUCAAGUUUAAGAAUAAUUAAGAUCCGGAAUAAUUUUUUAAUUAUGACUUGAAAGAAAAAAGAGUUAAUUAGACGAAUAAAUUGUUUUGAAAGUGGAGAUGUGGAAAACGUGUGCCCACAUCCAUAUUUUUAUUGUAUAUUUUAUUUUCGUCUCAAUAUCAUAAUUUAAUCCCAGCAAAAAAAGAAAAUUGAAUUUUGAGUCCCGAGAGGAAAUUGCUUCUUGACCCGUUAGACUUGUUCAAGUCUAUGUUUUACGCUAGCACCCCAUUCAUACUUCUACUCAAUAGACUACCAGUCAACGAAUGAGACCUGAAUAUUCAAAGUCAAUGUAAGAGUCCGAGUGUUAGUUUCCACUUCUUCUUUUUUGACUGGAGAGGUACGUUGGCAAUCAUAGAGGCGAUAAUACAGGAAUAUUUUUGCUGUAUUAGUUGAGAUUUAUAUACAUAAUUAUGUAUUAAUUACUAAUUAUUUAUUAAUUAGUACGAAUUAAAUCACAUUGUUAUAUAUUUAUAUUUCAUAUAGUUAUCAAUUGAUCCCAGCAUGAUAAAUUAUUUAAUAGUUUAUUAAGUAGAAUUGACCGUUAAGAGUGUAAUAUUCUUGCUACUCGGAACAUUAAUACCUAAACUACCCUUUAACAUUUAUCUUCAGUACACUCACAAGUAUUUGACAGUCCAGAGAGAGACCUGGCAAUUCGGAUAGGUUUUUGGGAUGUGUAUCGAACCUUCGAUUCAAGUAGGGCAAGUCGGCAAGGUUCCGUGGAGGGAUUUUAUUGACGAAAAGUUAAUUGUUUAUGGCCAAAACCAAAGUCUUCAGCCCAUUGGAAAUGAUCAAGUUGAUCAGAUUAUAAAUUGAUAUGCAGAGUUAAUUAGGUAAAGCUAAUUUAAUUAUAGGUUAAUGUUUUUUUUUUUUUUUUUGCACUUAACCCAGGUCAAAACGUGUUUUAAUGAAUCACUAAUUAACCCUAAACUAAUUUAAUAAAAAAUUUAGAAACUAGGAUGAUAUCAUUAACACAAAAAAUUUAAAUGAGAAAGGAGUUUUGUUGUAUUUUGACUCACAAAAUAUUAUUUAUUAUAAUAAUUUUUUUUGUAAUAUAUGUUUUUUAUUUUAAAUUAUAUGUAUUUUUUUGUUCGAGUUUUUUUAUCUUUUAAUAAUAAAUUAAUUGAAAAUUGAGUUUUAUAAUUUGUUUUUAACUUAAGUUGAUUAUAAUUAUUUUUUUAAUUUUAUUAUUUAACAUUGAUUUUUUAUCAACGUCAUUUAAAUUUUUAUUUUUAUUUUUAUUAUAAAAAAUAUUAAUAAUGUCUAAAUAUUCUUUUAUUAAAAAAAUAUCAAUAAGUACAAAAGAUGAAGAGGUCCCUGCUCUCCAGUCAAAGGUCGCUGUAUCUGGUUCCCCAAUUCAAUGAACUAGAGGAUCAUGAGUGCUCAUAGGUCAGCUGUUUUGAACUUUGACUGACUAUAUCACCUUCAUAAGAAGGAUGGACGUGCAGGUUCUGUGUGAAAGAUAGCGGUAACGUAUCCCAUUUUGUUUCCGUUCAUAAUCAUAUAAAGACAAAACAAAGUCUUUUCUAACAUUAAUAUACAAGUCACGAGUUCGGGUGAGUUCCGAGGAGGAUUAAUCUCUAGGAGAAUUAGUUAUGGAUAGAAAAACUGUUAAUGUUGGGAUUGAGUCCAAGAAAGAAGUUCCAGCUGAAGCUUUGGCUGCCGCUCGGCAUAAGCUAGGUGAACAUAAUGGUAUUAACAUGUCCAUCGAGGCCUCUAAUACCUUCACCUUCAAGGAUUCCGAUGCCAUGAACCGUGCAUUCCUCGGCGAGGUCGGUCCCAAGACCGGGAUUUACAUCUAUAGCCGUCACUUAAACCCCACCAUAUUAAACCUUGGCCGUCAGAUUGCUGCCAUGGAAGGAACUGAGACUGCCUAUUGCACUGCUAGUGGUAAGAAUUAUUUAUUUCUUUGAUUUGAUGGAUCGGAGCGAUGUACAUAGAGGGCUUAAGUUACAAGUAUUGUAACUGACUCUUUGUUUGCAGGUAUGUCUGCGAUAUCAUCAGUGUUCCUGCAGCUUUGCAACACUGGUGGACAUGUGGUGGCAGCGAAGACUCUCUUUGGUGGAAGUCACGCCUUGUUAACCCAUUUCUUACCACAGAAAUGCAACAUAACAACAACGUUUGUGGACAUUGUUGAUCUCGAGGAGGUUGAUAAAGCAAUGAUCGAAGGAAAGACCAGUGUGUUGUACUUUGAAUCCAUCUCGAACCCAACUUUGAUUGUCGCAAACAUCCCUGAAUUGAGCAAAAUAGCACAUGCAAAAGGGGUCAAGGUGGUGGUGGACAACACUUUUGCUCCAAUGAUUCUCUCCCCGGCAAAGCUUGGGGCAGAUGUGGUUGUGCAUAGCAUCUCCAAGUAUAUUAGUGGCGAAGCUGAUAUUAUUGCAGGUACUCUUUAAUAGCUUUAAUUCCGUGGUGGAAUUACAUGUUUUUUUUAUGAUUUGAUAUUUUCUUACUGUUAAAAAAAAAAAUAUGCACAGGAUUUCUCAUUUUAACAACACGAUUAAAGGCGGACCCUUAGGACAUAAUGGAUUUAUGGAAUUGAAACUUCAUCAAUUGAUUCACAAAAUCUCUUAAAAUUCUUGUUUUCAGAAAUUUUAAUUGAUUGUAAAGUUUCUAGCUGAUUUUCGUGGUUUAACUUGAUGGAGAUGGCAAGAGCAAGAGUUUUUUAUUUUCUUUAUCUAAACUAGUGGUUGGGGGGGAUUGCUUGGAAUUGGGAACUGACAAGCAUGAACAAGAAGUCUUAUCUUGAAUGGAGGGCAUAGAAAAGUAUGAUUCUUGGAUUAUUAUUAGAAUGCCUAUCCACAGUCUUAAAGAUGUGUGAAAGAAAGGGAAAAAAGUAUUCUAAUGUUUUCAUGGAAAUUCAUAGGUGCGGUUUGUGGGCCUGCUGAUAUAGUGGACCAAAUGAGAGACCCUCAUGAAGGGCCUUUGAUGCUUCUUGGCCCAACAAUGAAUCCCAAGGUAGCCUUCGAGAUAUCAGGGAGAAUCCCUCACCUGAGCAUGAGGAUGAAGAAACAUUGCAAACGAGCAAUGAAAUAUGUCACCAAGAUGAAGGAACUGGACCCUAACCUAGAUGUCUUAUACCCCGGGCUUAAAGAGCAUCCACAGCACAGUCUCUUGAACUCCAUGUCUAAUAAGGAUUAUGGGUUCGGUGGGGUUUUCUGCAUUGACAUGAAAACUGAAGGAAGGGCCUAUCGCUUGAUGGACAAAUUGC
rnacentral:lncRNA from 1 species